GAUUAAGCUACAAAGGGUACACGGGGGAUGCCUUGGCGUCAAGAGCCGACGAAGGACGUGGUUGACUGCGAAAAGCUCCGGGGAACCGUCAGCAGGUGUUAUAGCCGGAGAUGUCCGAAUGGGGAAACCCAGUUGAGCUAAUCCUCAACUAUCCGUGGCUGAAUAAAAUAGGCCAUUGGAAGGGAACCGGGCGAACUGAAACAUCUAAGUAGCCCGAGGAAAAGAGAUCAUUCUGCUAGUAGUGGCGAGCGAACGCGGAAAAGCCCAAACUGCUGUACUUGUACAGUGGGGUUGUAGGACCUGGCAAAAGUUAUGAGUUUGUUAGCGGAAUUGUACUGGAAAGAUAGACCGUAGAGGGUGACAGUCCCGUACGCGAAAACGAACUGAUGAGGGCCGGGUAUCCUGAGUACCACGGGGCACGCUAAUCCUGUGGGAAACCGGGGAGUCCACUCCCCAAGGCUAAAUACUCUUGACGACCGAUAGUGAACAAGUACCGUGAGGGAAAGGUGAAAAGAACCGCGGUGAGCGGAGUGAAAUAGAAUCUGAAACCGUGUACCUACAAUCAGUCGAAGCCCUAUGCCGAUUUGGAAGUCGGAAGGGGUGACGGCGUGCCUUUUGGAGAAUGAGCCGACGAGUUACUUUCUGUGGCCAGGUUAAGGCAGGGACAGCCGGAGCCGUAGCGAAAGCGAGUCUGAAUAGGGCGGAUAGUCGCAGGGAGUAGACACGAAACCGGGUGAGCUAACCAUGGUCAGGUUGAAGCGAGAGUAAUGUCUCGUGGAGGACCGAACGGGUAUACGUUGUAAAGUGUUCCGAUGAACUGUGGUUAGGGGUGAAAUGCCAAACGAACUCGGAGAUAGCUUGUUCUCCCCGAAAUAGCUUUAGGGCUAGCCUCGUGUGUUUAAUCUCGGAGGUAGAGCACUGGAUUGGCUAGGGGGUCUCUGACUUACCAAACCAAACCAAACUGCGAAUGCCGAGAUUUGAGAGCACGGGAGUCGGACGGCGAAUGAUGAGAUCCGUCGUCGAGAGGGAAAGAGCCCAGAUCGUCAGCUAAGGUCCCCAAGUGAUGACUAAGUGGGAAAGGAUGUGAGACUACUGAGACAUCCAGGAGGUUGGCUUAGAAGCAGCCACCCUUUAAAGAGUGCGUAAUAGCUCACUGGCCUAGUGGUCUUGCGCCGAAAAUAUAACGGGGCUCAAGUCAUCCACCGAAGCUACGAAUUCGGUAGUAGGUAGUAUGGAGUAGGUAGUAGGGAGAAAAAGCCCUUACUACCUACUGCCUACUACCUACUACGGAGUGGUAGGGGAGCGUUGUGCAGGAGACAAGAAAACAGUGCUGACCGGAAGGACAGCUUGCGGCCUGCACAAGUGCGAAUGUCGGCAUGAGUAGCGAAAAACAUGUGAGAACCAUGUUCGCCGUAUGUCUAAGGUUUCCGACGGAAGGUUAAUCCGCGUCGGGUUAGUCGGGCCUAAGCCGAGGCAGGAAUGCGUAGGCGAUGGACAACAGGUUAAUAAUCCUGUACCGCCGCAUGGAGCGAUGGGGGGACGCAGGAGGGUAGACCAGCCGGGUGAUGGACGUCCCGGUGCUGAACCGGUAGGGUGAUGAGCCUCGUAGGGAAAUCCGCGAGGGGAGCUUGAGCGGUUGUAAGCGGGCCGUAAGGCCAGAAGUGGUUAAGCCCCCACUGACAAGAAAAGCCUCUAAGCGAAGAAGUGUGGCGACCGUACCGCAAACCGACACAGGUAGACGGGUAGAAAAUACCGAGGCGAUCGGGGAAACUCUCGUUAAGGAACUAGGCAAAAUAGAUCCGUAACUUCGGGAGAAGGAUCGCCCUGGCCGGUGAAGUGAGAACUUAUGGAGCUGGUUGGGGUCGCAGAGAAAUGGCUCUAUCGACUGUUUAACAAAAACACAGGUCUGUGCCAACGCGUAAGCGGACGUAUACGGGCUGACGCCUGCCCAGUGCCGGAAGGUUAAGAGGAGGGGUGCAAGCUCCGAAUUGAAGCCCCGGUGAACGGCGGCCGUAACUAUAACGGUCCUAAGGUAGCGAAAUUCCUUGUCGGGUAAGUUCC
rnacentral:rRNA from 1 species